rnacentral:rRNA from 1 species
UACAGAGGUCCCGAGCGUUGUUCGGAUUCAUUGGGCGUAAAGGGUGCGUAGGCGGCGGGGAAAGUCUGAUGUGAAAUCCUGGGGCUCAACCCUGGAACUGCAUUGGAUACUUCCUUGCUAGAGUACUGGAGAGGAAACUGGAAUUUACGGUGUAGCAGUGAAAUGCGUUAGAGAUCGUAAGGAAGACCAGUGGCGAAGGCGAGUUUCUGGACAGUUACUGACGCUGAGGCACGAAGGCCAGGGGAGCAAACGGG